UACGUAGGUGACAAGCGUUGUCCGGAUUUACUGGGCGUAAAGAGCGCGCAGGCGGUCGUUCAAGUCGCGUGUGAAAGCCCCCGGCUCAACUGGGGAGGGUCACGCGAUACUGAUCGACUGGAAGGCAGGAGAGGGUAGUGGAAUUCCCGGUGUAGUGGUGAAAUUCGUAGAUAUUCGCAAGAACACCAGUGGCGAAGGCGGCUCACUGGCCCGGUACUGACGCUGAGGUGCGAAAGCGUGGGGAGCAAACAGG
rnacentral:rRNA from 1 species